rnacentral:rRNA from 1 species
AUACGCAGGUGGCGAGCGUUGUCCGGAAUUACUGGGUGUAAAGGGCGUGUAGGCGGGGAUGCAAGUCAGAUGUGAAAUACUAAGGCUUAACCUUGGGGCUGCAUCUGAAACUGUGUUUCUUGAGUGUCGGAGAGGAAAGCGGAAUUCCCAGUGUAGCGGUGAAAUGCGUAGAGAUUGGGAGGAACACCAGUGGCGAAGGCGGCUUUCUGGACGACAACUGACGCUGAGGCGCGAAAGCGUGGGGAGCAAACAGGAUUAGAUACUCUGGUAGUCCACGCCGUAAACGAUGGAUACUAGGUGUAGGAGGUAUCGACCCCUUCUGUGCCGGAGCUAACGCAAUAAGUGUUCCGCCUGGGGAGUACGGCCGCAAGGUUGAA